rnacentral:lncRNA from 1 species
GCAUGAACCAAAUCAAAAAAAAAAAAAGAAAGAGAAAAAUAGAGCACAUCAUUAGUCAAAGACCAACCAAGAAGAUAUCGACUUAGCAAAUUUGAAGCUUUGAACUAAAUAGGAAGCCAGUGGUAAUAGAAUUCCAAUUCGAUAAUGCAAUCCAUUUGUUAUGAUAUCCAAGUUUAUGAUGGUAUUGCAACUUAGCAAUCUAGUCAAAAGUCAGUUGAUCAAAAUAAAUAUAUUAUUUUGGCAAAUAUUUAGUGUCAUUCACCAUAAGGAGGCAUAAAGAUGGUCAUGAGGAAG